rnacentral:sRNA from 1 species
UGACCAAUAAUAUUACAUGCCGAUCGUUCCUUUAAAAGAAAUAUUUGUUAUUACUGUUUUAAACUACUUCUGACAUGGUUAAAUGAAAAUAAUGUCGUUUCUGCUGCACAAUUGUGUUCUAAAUCUAAUUGUAAAACAUGUGUUGCAGAUUAUGUCCCACCUUCUUAAAAAAAACUUCAUCGUUUAAAGUUUGCAAAUAAAAUCAAUCUCUGCCAUGCCUUUAUUAAUUUCAAAAAAAUAUUUGACCGUGGAAUGCCUUAACUUGGAGUGAGCAUUUCUAAACUUGGUACGCAUGGGAAACUUCUGCGUGUAAUUAAAUGAUAUAUAUAAACGUGUUGAAGAACAAUCUGAUGAUUUUUUGUGUGAUUUUUGUCAGAAGUCUUUGUUUAUUGCAAGGCAAAGUACUUUUGUCCAUUUUAUUUUUUUUUUUGUAUGAAAUUAAUUUAGUUUUAAAUUCUGGAUGUCUACAUUUUGAAAUUAUAUGAUGUAAUUUCUUUUUAAACACUGAUGGCAUGGCGAUUAUUUCAAAGGCAAUUGCUGAUAUUCAAUGUAUUUUUGAUCAAUUAAGAGAUUGUUGUAAAAAAUGAAAAUUGCACAAUUAUGUUGACGUCAAAGAUUGUUGUUUUUACAAUAAGGUAAAGGGGUAAAAUAAUCUGAAAAAUGGUAUAUUUACGAUAAACAUGUACGCUUGAAAUUGUAGACCAGUUUGCCUAUCUAAGCAUUACUUUUAACUUCAGUUAAGCUCUAAAGAGCUGAGAAAAAAUUUGCUUAGCAAGAUACAAAUGCAUAAUUUGCAUGGACAAAAUACCAAAAACUUUUUUUUUAAUCCUAAAACAUUACUAUGACUGUUUGAUUAUGAAAUUGACUAUGCCCCUAAGCCAUAUGGUUCACUCAAAGCAUGCGCAUUAUACAUGUAUACAGUUUUAUCCCUAUUUUUGUAAACAUAUCUUUCAGUUAAAAUGCCAACUUGUUGUGUUGAUUCGUAUUUGGAUAGUGUCAUCUGCCGACCCCCCCCCCCCCCAAAAAAAAAAUAUUAUUACAAUUAUACACUAUAUGCCUGUGUUAAAACAUGACUAAACUGCCAUUUUGAAUUUGCCUGUCAUUUUGUCGGAAAUCGCACUUGGAAUUUCUCAGAUUUUAUCAUUAACAUGACGACCGUAAACAGCGAUUUUUUUUCAAACGUGAUAUUUUUAGGGUGCAUUAUAAUAUAAUUUUGUGUCAUGAUAUUGUAUUAUUGUAUAACAAACCAUUUUAUCACAUGCUUUUGUUUUAUAUGAUGUUGCAAUAUAUAAUAUUGUAUAAUAUGAUACGAUACUGUAUAAAAUAAUAUUAUCUACAUAAUAAAUUAUUAUAUCACAUG